GUGUCAGCAGCCGCGGUAAUACGGAGGGUGCAAGCGUUAUCCGGAUUCACUGGGUUUAAAGGGUGCGUAGGCGGAUAUGUAAGUCCGUGGUGAAAUCUCUGGGCUUAACCCGGAAACUGCCAUGGAUACUAUGUGUCUUGAAUGUUGUUGAGGUGAGCGGAAUAUGUCAUGUAGCGGUGAAAUGCUUAGAUAUGACAUAGAACACCAAUUGCGAAGGCAGCUCACUAAGCAAAUAUUGACGCUGAGGCACGAAAGCGUGGGGAUCAAACAGGAUUAGAUACCCUGGUAGUCC
rnacentral:rRNA from 1 species